rnacentral:rRNA from 1 species
AAGAUGGCGACCGGCGCACGGGUGAGUAACACGUAUCCAACCUGCCGAUAACUCUGGAAUAGCCUUUCGAAAGAAAGAUUAAUACCGGAUGGCAUACGAAUAUCGCAUGAUAUUUUUGUUAAAGAAUUUCGGUUAUCGAUGGGGAUGCGUUCCAUUAGUUUGUUGGCGGGGUAACGGCCCACCAAGACAACGAUGGAUAGGGGUUCUGAGAGGAAGGUCCCCCACAUUGGAACUGAGACACGGUCCAA